rnacentral:rRNA from 1 species
UACGUAGGGUGCAAGCGUUGCUCGGAAUCAUUGGGCGUAAAGAGCGUGUAGGUGGCUAGGUAAGUCGGUUGUGAAAUCCCUGGGCUUAACCGAGGAAGUGCAUCCGAAACUACCUGGCUAGAGGACGGCAGAGGGAGGUGGAAUUCCUAGUGUAGAGGUGAAAUUCGUAGAUACUAGGAGGAAUAUCGGCGGCGAAGGCGGCCUCCUGGACCGUUCCUGACACUGAGACGCGAAAGCGUGGGGAGCAAACAGG